UACGUAGGGGGCAAGCGUUGUCCGGAUUUAUUGGGCGUAAAGAGCGUGUAGGCGGCCAGGUAGGUCCGUUGUGAAAACUGGAGGCUUAACCUCCAGCUGUCGAUGGAAACCAUCUGGCUAGAGUCCGGAAGAGGAGAGUGGAAUUCCUGGUGUAGCGGUGAAAUGCGCAGAUAUCUGGAGGAACACCGGUGGCGAAGGCGGCAUCCUGGACCGACACUGACGCUGAAAAGCGAAAGCCAGGGGAGCAAACGGG
rnacentral:rRNA from 1 species